AUCCAGCUGACGAGUCCCAAACAGGACGAAACGCGCGUCAAAGUGGAU
rnacentral:hammerhead_ribozyme from 1 species